GAUGAAGAACGUAGCGAAAUGCGAUAAGUAAUAUGAAUUGCAGAUAUUCGUGAAUCAUCGAAUCUUUGAACGCACAUUGCGCCCUUUGGUAUUCCAAAGGGCAUGCCUGUUUGAGCGUCAUUUCUCCCUCAAACCCUCGGGUUUGGUGUUGAGCGAUACGCUGGGUUUGCUUGAAAGAAAGGCGGAGUAUAAACUAAUGGAUAGGUUUUUUCCACUCAUUGGUACAAACUCCAAAACUUCUUCCAAAUUCGACCUCAAAUCAGGUAGGACUACCCGCUGAACUUAAGCAUAUCAAUAAGCGGAGGA
rnacentral:misc_RNA from 1 species